rnacentral:tRNA from 1 species
AGAGAUUUAGUUAAAUUUAAUAAUAGUAACUUGUCAAGUUUCAGUCGGCCAAGCAACCAGUCUCUG